GAUGAACGCUGGCUACAGGCUUAACACAUGCAAGUCGAGGGGAAACGACGGGGAAGCUUGCUUCCCCGGGCGUCGACCGGCGCACGGGUGAGUAACGCGUAUCCAACCUGCCUCUGACUGAGGGAUAACCCGUCGAAAGUCGGCCUAAUACCUCAUGGCAUCGUCUGCGGGCAUCCAACGACGAUUAAAGAUUUCAUCGGUCAGGGAUGGGGAUGCGUCUGAUUAGCUUGUUGGCGGGGUAACGGCCCACCAAGGCUACGACCAGUAGGGGUUCUGAGGGGAAGGUCCCCCACAUUGGAACUGAGACCCGGUCCAAACUGCUACGGGAGGCAGCAGUGAGGAAUAUUGGUCAAUGGGCGGGAGCCUGAACCAGCCAAGUAGCGUGCAGGAUGACGGCCCUAUGGGUUGUAAACUGCUUUUAUGCGGGGAUAAAGUGAGGGACGUGUCCUUCAUUGAAGGUACCGCAUGAAUAAGGACCGGCUAAUUCCGUG
rnacentral:rRNA from 1 species